rnacentral:tRNA from 2 species
GGCCGGUUGGCCCAAUGGCAAGGCGUCUGACUACGAUCCCGCAACACCUCCAUCUCUCCCCUCGGCCGUUCGAGCGGGAGGCGGUGCAUCGCGCAAGUUAUCAGGAGAUUCUGGGUUCGACCCCCAGGCUGGUCA